rnacentral:sRNA from 1 species
ACAAAGAUUCAUACGGACUUCGGCUACACUAUCAAAGCUUUGAGAAUCAAGAAGAAGCUUGAUUAGUGUUUUGGAUUCGAUU